rnacentral:rRNA from 1 species
UGUAGGUCAAGCUACUUAGGGCGCGCGGUGGAUGCCUUGGUAUCAGAGGCCGAUGAAGGACGUGGUAAGGCUGCGAUAAGCCUCGCUCAGCUGCCAAACAAGCUCAGGCGGGGAUUUCCGAAUGGGGGAACCCAGCCCGGCAAAACCGGGCUACUCCGGACUGAACACAUAGGUCCGGUAGAGGGCACCGGGGGAACUGAAACAUCUAAGUACCCCGAGGAAAAGAGAGUAUUCUCCUAGUAGCGGCGAGCGAACGGGGAAAAGCCCAAACCGGUACGGUUCGCCGUGCCGGGGUUGUAGGGCCUGCCUGCUUUGAAGGCACGGAGUUACCAAUCACACGCUUAGCAGAACGGACCUGGAAAGGCCGGCCAUAGAGGGUGAGAGCCCCGUAAACGAAAGGCGCUGUGACUCCGGGCAGGUACCUGAGUACCACGGGACACGUGAAACCCCGUGGGAAUCUGGGGAGACCACUUCCCAAGGCUAAAUACCUCUGAUGACCGAUAGUGAACCAGUACCGUGAGGGAAAGGUGAAAAGUACCCCGGGAGGGGAGUGAAAGAGAUCCUGAAACCGCGUGCCUACGUGCAGUUGGAGCUCGUUCCGGCGAGUGACAGCGUGCCUAUUGAAGAAUGAGCCGGUGAGUUACUUUACGUGGCAAGGUUAAGCAAGGAAGCUUGUGGAGCCGUAGCGAAAGCGAGUCCGAAUAGGGCGCCUGAGUCGCGUGGAGUAGACGCGAAACCUGGUGAUCUACCCAUGGGCAGCGUGAAGUCCAGGUAAAACUGGAUGGAGGCGCGAACCUUCUAGUGUUACAAAACUAUUGGAUGACCUGUGGGUAGCGGUGAAAUGCCAAGCGAACCAGGAGAUAGCUCGUUCUCCCCGAAAUGCAUUUAGGUGCAGCCUCGAGUGAUCUCCGGCGGAGGUAGGGCUCUGAAUGGGCUAGGGGGCUUACCGCUUACCAAACCCAAUCAAACCGCGAAUGCCGUCGGACAAAACUCGGGAGUGAGACAGUGGGGGCUAAGCUUCAUUGUCGAAAGGGAAACAGCCCAGACCACCAGCUAAGGUCCCGAAGUCCAUGCUCAGUGUGAAAGGAUGUUGAAUCGCAAAAACAGCCAGGAGGUUGGCUUAGAAGCAGCCACCCUUUAAAGAGUGCGUAAUAGCUCACUGGUCGAGUGGUUCUGCGCCGACAAUUCAACGGGGCUAAGCAUGGCACCGAAGCUGUGGGUCUCCUUCUUCGGAAGGAGGCGGUAGGGGAGCGUUUGCUUCAGCUGCGAAGCGGUAGCCGUGAGGCGCCGUGGAGCGAAGCGAAGUGAGAAUGCCGGCAUGAGUAGCGCAAGGCGCGUGAGAACCGCGCCCGCCGUAUACCCAAGGUUUCCUACGGAAGGUCAAUCCGCGUAGGGUUAGUCGGGCCUAAGCCGAGGCCGAAAGGCGUAGGCGAUGGACAGCUGGUUAGUAUUCCAGCACCGCGAUAGUAACGUUUGAUGCAGAGGGGGGACCCAGGAGGGUAGGUCCCGCGGGCCUAUUGGACAUGGUCCGUUCUUGACUUGUAGGCGUCUGGAGGGAGGCAAAUCCCCCUCCAGGUUAAGCGGAGGAGUCGAGAGAAGUGGAGACUUUGUCAAAGCGACGGGAUUGAGCCCAUGCUGGCGAGAAAAGCCUCGCUGCUAGUUACUAAUGCGCCCGUACCGCAAACCGACACUGGUGGGUGGUGGUAAGUACCACAAGGCGAUCGGGAGAACCUUCGUUAAGGAACUCGGCAAAUUGGAUCCGUAACUUCGGGAGAAGGAUCGCCCCUGAAUGUGUACCGGCUCGCCCGGGAAGCAAACGGGGGCCGCAGUGAGCAGGCCCAGGCGACUGUUUAUCAAAACCACAGGUCUCUGCAAAAGCGAAAGCUGACGUAUAGGGGCUGACGCCUGCCCAGUGCCGGAAGGUUAAGGGGAGAGCUUCACGGCUUGAACCGAAGCCCCGGUGAACGGCGGCCGUAACUAUAACGGUCCUAAGGUAGCGAAAUUCCUUGUCGGGUAAGUUCCGACCCGCACGAAAGGCGUAACGAUCUGGGCACUGUCUCAACGGAGGACCCGGCGAAAUUGAAUUGACCGUGAAGAUGCGGUUGACCCGCGGCAGGACAAAAAGACCCCGUGGAGCUUUACUGCAGUUUGGCACUGGGAGCGGGCCAGGGAUGCGUAGGAUAGGUGGGAGGCGUUGAAGCCGGGCUUUCGGGCUCGGUGGAGCCAACGUUGAAAUACCACCCUUCGCUGGUCUACUUUCUAACUCCUGAGCAAGCAGGAGGACAGUGCCUGACGGGCAGUUUGACUGGGGCGGUCGCCUCCCAAAAUGUAACGGAGGCGCACAAAGGUCCCCUCAGGGUGGAUGGAAAUCACCCGCUGAGUGCAUUGGCAUAAGGGGGCUUGACUGCGAGACCCACAAGUCGAGCAGGGGCGAAAGCCGGUCAAAGUGAUCCUACGGUACCGAGUGGAAGGGCCGUGGCUUAACGGAUAUAAGCUACCCCGGGGAUAACAGGCUUAUCUUGCCCAAGCGUCCACAGCGACGGCAAGGUUUGGCACCUCGAUGUCGGCUCGUCGCAUCCUGGGGCUGGAGUAGGUCCCAAGGGUUGGGCUGUUCGCCCAUUAAAGCGGUACGCGAGCUGGGUUCAGAACGUCGUGAGACAGUUCGGUCUCUAUCCGCCGUGGGCGUAGGAAGUUUGAGAGGAUCUGCCCCUAGUACGAGAGGACCGGGGUGGACGGACCGCUGGUGUGCGGGUUGUUCCGCCAGGAGCACCGCCCGGUAGCCAUGUCCGGACCGGAUAAGCGCUGAAAGCAUCUAAGUGCGAAGCCGACCUCAAGAUGAGACUUCCCACCGAGUUAAUCGGGUAAGACCACAGGAAGACUACCUGUUCGAUAGGCGCCAGGUGUAAGCGCAGCAAUGCGUUCAGCUGAGGCGUACUAAUGGUCGAGGGCUUGACCUACA